rnacentral:rRNA from 1 species
GUGCAGCAGGCGCGAAACCUUUACAAUGCCUUCACGGGCGAUAAGGGGAUCCUGAGUGCUCUAGCAUUGCUAGAGCUUUUCCAGAGUGUAAAAAGCUCUGGGAAUAAGUGGUGGGUAAGACGGGUGCCAGCCGCCGCGGUAAUACCCGCGCCACAAGUGGUGACCACGUUUAUUGGGUCUAAAAGCGUUCGUAGCCGGCUCAAUAAAUUCUCGGUGAAAAUCCUGUGUAAAAACAUAGGAAGUGCCGAGAAGACUGUUGAGCUAGGGGACCGGGAGAGGCUGAGGGUACUCCGAGGGGUAGGGGUUAAAAUACCGUUGUGGUUUAAUCUCGCGGUUUAACAAUCCUGUAAUCCCUGGAGGACCACCGGUGGCGAAGGCGCUCAGCUGGAACGGCUCCGACGGUGAGGGACGAAAGCCGAGGGGAGCGAACGGGAUUAGAUACCCCGGUA